UACGGAGGGUGCAAGCGUUAAUCGGAAUUACUGGGCGUAAAGCGUGCGUAGGCGGCUUUUUAAGUCGGGUGUGAAAUCCCCGGGCUCAACCUGGGAAUUGCAUUCGAUACUGGAUCGCUAGAGUUCGGCAGAGGGAAGCGGAAUUUCGGGUGUAGCGGUGAAAUGCGUAGAUAUCCGAAGGAACAUCAGUGGCGAAAGCGGCUUCCUGGACCAGAACUGACGAUCAGGCACGAAAGCGUGGGGAGCAAACAGG
rnacentral:rRNA from 1 species